CCAGUUCUCAGGAACAGGAUGG
rnacentral:siRNA from 1 species